rnacentral:rRNA from 1 species
AUUCCAGCUCCAAUAGCGUAUAUUUAAGUUGUUGCAGUUAAAAAGCUCGUAGUUGGAUUUCGGGUGGGCCCUGCCGGUCCGCCAUUCGGUGAGCACUGCAUGGGCCCACCUUGCUGCCGGGGACGGAUACUGGACUUCAGUGCCCGGUGUCCGGAGUCGGCGAGGUUACUUUGAGUAAAUUAGAGUGUUCAAAGCAGGCCUACGCUCUGAAUACAUUAGCAUGGAAUAACACGAUAGGACUCUGGCCUAUCUUGUUGGUCUGUAGGACCGGAGUAAUGAUUAAGAGGGACAGUCGGGGGCAUUCGUAUUUCAUUGUCAGAGGUGAAAUUCUUGGAUUUAUGAAAGACGAACUACUGCGAAAGCAUUUGCCAAGGAUGUUUUCAUCG